GUUAGCUAGCGUGUGGGUGACUCGAAAGAGAGGAAACUCCUCCCUCAUAACAGGCACUCAAAUUAGCGAUAAUUAGGUGGAGACGCCUGGCUACGGAACAGAAAGGAUAUCCAGUUGAUCAAAAUGAUGAUGAUGGUGAAUAGCCUGAAGAUGUCAAUACUGGAAUGAAACCGCCGACCUGAGUGGAGCAAGGACAAAAAGGGGUUAACAUUCCUGUAUGAACCCAGGUUGACCGCUCAGUGGAAUCCCACUUAAAACAAAAGGAGGGUUACUGCUAGCAAAC
rnacentral:RNase_P_RNA from 1 species